CCUACGGGAGACAGCAGUGAGGAAUAUUGGUCAAUGGACGAGAGUCUGAACCAGCCAAGCAGCGUGAAGGAUGACUGCCCUACGGGUUGUAAACUUCUUUUAUAAAGGAAUAAAGUGACGCACGUGAGUGAUUUUGUAUGUACUUUAUGUAUACGGACAGGCCAACUCCGCGCCAGCAGCCGCGGUAAUACGGAGGAUCCGAGCGGUGUCCGGAUGGAUUGUGUUGAAAGGGAGCGUAGAUGGGUUGUUAAGUCAGUUGUGAAGGUUUGCGGCUCAACCGUAAAAUUGCAUUUGAUACUGGCAGUCUGGAGUACAGUAGAGGUAGGCGGAAUUCGAGGUGUAGCGGUGAAAUGCGUAGAUAUAACGAAGAACUCCGAUUGCGAAGGCAGCUUACUAAACUGCAACUGACGUUGAUGCUCGAAAGUGUGGGUAGCAAACAGGAUUAGAUACCCCAGUAGUC
rnacentral:rRNA from 1 species